GAUGUGGUGACAACACAUAAAGCUGCCUCCAUCUCUGGAACUCUGUGGAAUUUUUACAGCAGAGUACAUCUAAUGGAUGCUAGAAAAAACAAACUCCACUUGUUUUGUCACAAGAAGUAAAUAGGGUGAUCACAUCAACUGUAUUUAGCUACUCUGAAAUCCAUGCUGCAUGUAGCAUGUGUGCAUGCACAGAAGAGGAAGAAGAGUGAGGAGUCACAGCACUGCAGAACCUUCCCAGAGAUAGCAAAUUCCAGCUGCUUUAGAAGUGAACUGAUGGCUACAGAAGGUCAAUGGAUCUAGAAACAAGGCAUGAAGAUGUAAACUAAGUACAAAGCAAUGCGGACGGUCACUGAAUACCAGAAAAACGAAUCUGCAUGCAACCUGC